UACGUAGGAUGCUAGCGUUGUCCGGAUUUACUGGGCGUAAAGCGCGCGCAGGCGGCACUGUAAGUAAGGUGUGAAAUCUCCCUGCUCAACGGGGAGGGUGCACUUUAGACUGCAGAGCUAGAGGACGGUAGAGGGGGGUGGAAUUGCUGGUGUAGCGGUGAAAUGCGUAGAGAUCAGCAGGAACACCGGUGGCGAAGGCGGCAUCCUGGACCGGCAUUGACGCUGAGGCGCGAAAGCCAGGGGAGCAAACGGG
rnacentral:rRNA from 1 species